CAAGAAAGGAAUCAAGUUGGAUAACUCUUGUUCCCUUUGUCAUUCUGCAACUGAAUCAGCCCACCACCUCUUCAUAGACUGUUGACGCAAGCGUUUACAUGGAGGAGUUUGUAUAUUUUGGUUGUAUCAUCAAGAAUCAUGCUUUGGAAACCAUUCUCAUAGCUAGUCGAAAGGAGACAGUCUCAGUUACUCUAUAAGUGGCCGAAAUUCUUGCUAUCAGGAGGUGUCUCACAUUGGAAAAAUAUAUGAACCAGGGAAGGAUAAUAAUCCAGUCGGAUUCCCUUACUUAUAUUGAUUGCAUAAAUUAUGUUAUUGAUAAUUCAGUUUUAGAGCCCAUUGCAGCGGAUUAUAACUUACUUCUUAGUAGUGUCCAGCUAGGCCUGUAACAAUCCAAUUUUUGUAUUUAAUUAUUAUAUUAUUAUUAUUAUAUUUUAUUUUAUUUA